rnacentral:rRNA from 1 species
UACGUAGGUGGCAAGCGUUGUCCGGAUUUACUGGGCGUAAAGAGCGCGCAGGCGGUCGGAUUAGUCGCGUGUGAAAGCCCCCGGCUCAACCGGGGAACUGCACGGGAAACUGGAAGGCUUGAGUUCGGGAGAGGGAAGCGGAAUUCCGGGUGUAGCGGUGAAAUGCGUAGAUAUCCGGAGGAACACCGGUGGCGAAGGCGGCUUCCUGGACCGACACUGACGCUGAGGCGCGAAAGCUAGGGGAGCAAACGGG